AAAUUGAAAGAAGUGAGGUCUCUUAGGUGAGGCUUGGACUUUGGAUCCAAGACACACUCACCGUCUACCAAUUUUAAUGAAGAAUUAAGAGCAAAAAAAAUUUACAAGUGAUGGAAGAACACUUGUGAAUUCUUCCAAGUCACUUGCUUAAUGGCCAUUUACAAGUACUUUUGCAAAACAAAUGACUUGAAACAACAAAGAAG
rnacentral:lncRNA from 1 species